rnacentral:rRNA from 1 species
UAUUGGGUUUAGCCUGCUCAAUGAAUNAUUUUAAUAGAAGCAGUACCUUGACUGUGCUAAGGUAGCAUAAUCAAUUGUUUAUUAAUUGUAGGCGGGAAUNAAGGGUAUUAUGGGGAAAAGCUGUCUUAUUAAUAUAAUUUAAAUAUUAUUUAUAGGUGCAAAAUCCUAUCCUAAGAACAUAAGACGAGAAGACCCUUAGAAUUAUAAUUAGAUUUAAGAUAGAACUUAUUAUCCAUUUUUGUUGGGGCAACAGUUAUUAUAUUUCUACAGUAAUUUAAGUUGAAUGAAACAGGAAAAGUUUACUAAAAAAGAAUUUAAUUACCUGAGGGAUAACAGCAUAAUUUUUUUAAGUUUGUGACCUCGAUGUUGGACUAAGGACUUUAAUUAUUAGACGUAAUUAGAGAUGGCUCUGUUCGA